AUAUGCCUCACUACUCGUAAAAAGAUAGGGUUUUCUAGGUGCCCCUUUGAGCACUUGAGUUGAGUUGGAUCGGAUCGGACUCUCGGAGUAGUUCUUACUUUCCAUUUACAGUAGGAUCGGUUUCGAAUAUAUACUUGAGCUAGGAUGAGAUGAGAUGCAUGAGUGCUACUAGAUCUAUAUAAGCUAAUAUAUAUGGCUCCUCCUUAUAUUCUAAUCACAGUUUUAACUAUGAUAGUCAAGGAACCCCAUCUGGCUGCAGUGGUGCAACCGAGCUAGGUGCUGCAGCUCUAUAUAACGCGUUAUGCGAUCUCCACUAUCUCUCAAUCAACAUUAAUUAGUUUGGCUUGUAGAUCCGGAUCACAUAUCACUUAUCAGUACAGUGUUGCUCCAAAUUCAUUUUAUUUUUUAGUUGCAGUUAUUAACUAGUUGUUCGCCUUUAAACAACAUUUGUUUUAUUCAUACAUGCCGAGUUAAGAAUGUAUGCUUUUAUCUGGUUGUCCGAUAAAGUGAUAACUUGAUAAAUUUGGUA